UGGGGAAUCUUGGACAAUGGGGGCAACCCUGAUCCAGCGACGCCGCGUGGGUGAUGAAGGCCUUCGGGUUGUAAAGCCCUUUCACCGGGGACGAUGAUGACGGUACCCGGAGAAGAAGCACCGGCUAACUCCGUGCCAGCAGCCGCGGUAAGACGGAGGGUGCUAGCGUUGUUCGGAAUCACUGGGCGUAAAGGGCGCGUAGGCGGCCAAGGCAGUCGGCUCGUGAAAGCCCGGGGCUCAACCCCGGAGGUGCGGCCGAUACACCUUGGCUCGAGGCCGGAAGAGGAGGGUGGAAUACCCAGUGUAGAGGUGAAAUUCGUAGAUAUUGGGUGGAACGCCGGUGGCGAAAGCGGCUCUCUGGUCCGGACCUGACGCUGAGGCGCGAAAGCGUGGGGAGCAAACAGG
rnacentral:rRNA from 1 species